rnacentral:rRNA from 1 species
UACGUAGGUGGCAAGCGUUGUCCGGAUUUAUUGGGUUUAAAGGGUGCGUAGGCGGUCUAUUAAGUCAGUGCUGAAAUAUCCCGGCUUAACCGGGAGGGUGGCAUUGAUACUGAUGGACUUGAGUAAAGUUGAGGUUGGCGGAAUUGACGGUGUAGCGGUGAAAUGCUUAGAUAUCGUCAAGAACACCUAUUGCGAAGGCAGCUAACUAAGCUUAAACUGACACUGAGGCACGAAAGUGUGGGGAUCAAACAGG